rnacentral:rRNA from 1 species
GUGAGGAAUAUUGGUCAAUGGGCGAGAGCCUGAACCAGCCAAGUCGCGUGAAGGAAGAAGGAUCUAUGGUUCGUAAACUUCUUUUGCAGGGGAAUAAAGUGCAGGACGUGUCCUGUUUUGUAUGUACCCUGAGAAUAAGGAUCGGCUAACUCCGUGCCAGCAGCCGCGGUAAUACGGAGGAUCCGAGCGUUAUCCGGAUUUAUUGGGUUUAAAGGGUGCGUAGGUGGUUUGAUAAGUCAGCGGUGAAAGUUUGCAGCUUAACUGUAAACAUGCCGUUGAAACUGUCGGACUUGAGUGUAAAUGAGGUAGGCGGAAUGCGUGGUGUAGCGGUGAAAUGCAUAGAUAUCACGCAGAACUCCGAUUGCGAAGGCAGCUUACUAAGCUACAACUGACACUGAAGCACGAAAGCGUGGGGAUCAAACAGGAUUAGAAACCCCGGUAGUCC